rnacentral:lncRNA from 1 species
AAGGCCUCCCCUUUCUCGGCUCCCCCUCCCCCAUCAAGCUUUCCACCUACCUCCCCUCCCCCAUCACCUCCCCCGUCGUCGUCGCCGCCCGCUGCAUUUACUUCUCCAGGUAUUCUGGGCCGCUGUCCAUGGAGGGGAAUGACAGGGAGCUACUGGAGUUGAUUCCCUCCUCUUAAAGAAACACGAGGAAGAAAGCUAGCUAGAGAGAGAGAGAGAGAGAGAGGCGGGGGGGGGAGUCUCUCUCUGUUCUCUGUACCUCCUCCACCAACCCGCCUCCAUGCUGCAAGGGCAAAUCAAUCAAAUCGUGAGUCAUAUAUACCUCUCUCUUUCCUUCAUCUUCUUCUUCUUCUUCUUCCUGCGGAAUUAUCCAGCCAGCCAUGGAGGCUGAUCCUCUUCACUGUGCUGAAUUUUUUUUUUGCUCGGCUCUUCUCUGAGAACAGUCCCGCGGAGAGGAAGAAGAGGG